UCGUAAUAUAAUUUAUAAUUUAUUUAUUAUGAAUAAAAGUUUAACUCAUUAUAAAAAAAAUGAUCGAGUUAUGUGGUGAGUCAUUGCAUUGCUAGCAGGCUCCACACCACAAGCUAGCUAAAGCCCACUAACAUUCACUCCCCCUUUUGUUUUUUCUCAUUAUCCUCUCGUUCAUCAUUUCUCAAAAAAUUAGAUGGGCUCCGACCACCGUCCCCGCCGCCGCCACCAACCAUGAACAUACCCCUACCUAUCCCAACUCCGACGACACCCCUACCUUUCCCCUCUCCGUCUACUUCUUCUCCUCCCUCGCUCUCCCUCCUUAACUUCUUCUCACUUCCUCCCCCCUUCCAUUCCUUCUCUCAAACUGAAACAUCACUUUCCUCCUCCAGAUACACCCGCUCAUUCUGCUCCCAAACCACCGCCGCCGCCGUCGUCCCCACUUCCUCCGACGAUAGAGACCAAGCUCUCUUAUUCCUCCUCCGUCAGCGCAAAACCGACGACGCUUGGGCGCUUUACCAGGCGUCUUCUCAUCUUCCCAAUUCCGUCUGCCUUAGCCGCCUAGUCUCCCAACUCUCCCAUAAAAACACCCCUCUCGCCCUCACCCGCGCACAGUCCAUCCUCACGCGCCUCCGCAAUGACCGCCAGCUCCACCGCCUUGACGCCAACUCCCUCGGCCUCCUCGCCGUCUUUCCCUCGGUCUCCUCGCCGUCUCCGCCACCAAAUCCGGACAGCUCCCCUACGCCGUCUCCCUCAUCAACUCCAUGCUCCGCUCCGGCUACAUCCCACACGUUAAAGCCUGGUCCGCCGUCCUCUG
rnacentral:lncRNA from 1 species